UCCCCGAUAGCUCAGUUGGUAGAGCACAUGACUGUUAAUCAUUAGGUCACUGGUUCGAGCCCAGUUCGGGGAGCCA
rnacentral:tRNA from 1 species